rnacentral:rRNA from 1 species
GAUGAACGCUGGCGGCGUGCCUAAUACAUGCAAGUCGAACGCUUCACUUCGGUGAAGAGUGGCGAACGGGUGAGUAAUACAUAAGUAACCUGGCAUCUACAGGGGGAUAACUGAUGGAAACGUCAGCUAAGACCGCAUAGGUGUAGAGAUCGCAUGAACUCUAUAUGAAAAGUGCUACGGGACUGGUAGAUGAUGGACUUAUGGCGCAUUAGCUAGUUGGUAGGGUAACGGCCUACCAAGGCGACGAUGCGUAGCCGACCUGUGAGUGGGACCCGCCACACUGGGACUGAGACACGGCCCAGACUCCUACGUGAGGCAGCAGUAGGGAAUUUUCGGCAGUGGGGGAAACCCUGACCGAGCAACGCCGCGUGAAGGAAGAAGUAAUUCGUUAUGUAAACUUCUGUCAUAGAGGAAGAACGGUGGAUAUAGGGAAUGAUAUCCAAGUGACGGUACUCUAUAAGAAAGCCACGGCUAACUACGUGCCAGCCGCCGCCGUAAUAC